rnacentral:rRNA from 1 species
UACAGAGGUCUCAAGCGUUGUUCGGAUUCAUUGGGCGUAAAGGGUGUGUAGGUGGCGCGCUAAGUCGGGUGUGAAAUUUCGGAGCUUAACUCCGAAACUGCAUUCGAUACUGCGGUGCUUGAGGACUGGAGAGGAGACUGGAAUUCAUGGUGUAGCAGUGAAAUGCGUAGAGAUCGGGAGGAACACCAGUGGCGAAGGCGGCUACCUGGACCAGCACUGACACUGAGGCACGAAAGCGUGGGGAGCAAACAGG